UAAGCAAUUAUACCGUGAAACUGCGAAUGGCUCAUUAAAUCAGUUAUCGUUUAUUUGAUAGUACCUUACUACUUGGAUAACCGUGGUAAUUCUAGAGCUAAUACAUGCUAAAAACCCCGACUUCGGGAGGGGUGUAUUUAUUAGAUAAAAAACCAAUGCCCUUCGGGGCUCUUUGGUGAUUCAUAAUAACUUCUCAGAUCGCAUUUGGCCUUGCGCCGGCGACGGUUCAUUCAAAUUUCUGCCCUAUCAACUUUCGAUGGUAAGGUAUUGGCUUACCAUGGUUUCAACGGGUAACGGGGAAUUAGGGUUCGAUUCCGGAGAGGGAGCCUGAGAAACGGCUACCACAUCCAAGGAAGGCAGCAGGCGCGCAAAUUACCCAAUUCCAACACGGAGAGGUAGUGACAAUACAUACUGAUACAGGGCUCUUUUGGGUCUUGUAAUUGGAAUGAGUACAAUUUAAACCUCUUAACGAGGAACAAUUGGAGGGCAAGUCUGGUGCCAGCAGCCGCGGUAAUUCCAGCUCCAAUAGCGUAUAUUAAAGUUGUUGCAGUUAAAAAGCUCGUAGUUGAACCUUUGGCCUGGCUGGCAGGUCCGCCUCACCGCGUGCACUUGACCGGCCGGGCCUUUUCUUCUGGAGAACCGCAUGCCCUUCACUGGGUGUGUUGGGGACCAGGACUUUUACUUUGAAAAAAUUAGAGUGUUCAAAGCAGGCCUUUGCUCGAAUACGUUAGCAUGGAAUAAUAGAAUAGGACGUGCGGUCCUAUUUUGUUGGUUUCUAGGACCGCCGUAAUGAUUAAUAGGGACAGUCGGGGGCAUCAGUAUUCAAUUGUCAGAGGUGAAAUUCUUGGAUUUAUUGAAGACUAACUACUGCGAAAGCAUUUGCCAAGGAUGUUUUCAUUAAUCAGUGAACGAAAGUUAGGGGAUCGAAGACGAUCAGAUACCGUCGUAGUCUUAACCAUAAACUAUGCCGACUAGGGAUCGGGCGGUGUUUCUAUUGUGACCCGCUCGGCACCUUACGAGAAAUCAAAGUGUUUG
rnacentral:rRNA from 1 species